rnacentral:rRNA from 1 species
CAGCCGUAAACUAUGCGCGUUAGGUGUAUCGGUGACCACGAGUCACCGAGGUGCCGAAGGGAAACCGUGAAACGUGCCGCCUGGGAAGUACGGUCGCAAGGCUGAAACUUAAAGGAAUUGGCGGGGAGCACAACAACGGGUGGAGCCUGCGGUUUAAUUGGACUCAACGCCGGACAACUCACCGGGACGACAGCAAUAUGUAGGCCAGGCUGAAGACCUUGCCUGAAUCGCUGAGAGGAGGUGCAUGGCGUAGACGUCU